rnacentral:rRNA from 1 species
UACGGGGGGGGCAAGCGUUGUUCGGAAUUACUGGGCGUAAAGGGCUCGUAGGUGGCCAACUAAGUCGGACGUGAAAUCCCUCGGCUUAACCGGGGAACUGCGUCUGAUACUGGAUGGCUUGAGUUCGGGAGAGGGAUGCGGAAUUCCAGGUGUAGCGGUGAAAUGCGUAGAUAUCUGGAGGAACACCGGUGGCGAAGGCGGGUCUCUGGGCAGUAACUGACGCUGAGGAGCGAAAGCGUGGGGAGCGAACAGG